AUACGUAGGGGGCAAGCGUUGUCCGGAUUUACUGGGUGUAAAGGGCGCGCAGGUGGGUUUGUAAGUCAGAGGUGAAAGCCUGGAGCUCAACUCCAGAACUGCCUUUGAAACUACAAAUCUUGAGUGCAGAAGAGAGAAGCGGAAUUCCAGGUGUAGUAGUGAAAUACGUAGAUACCUGGAAGAACACCAGUUGCGAAGGCGGCUUCUUGGUCUGUCACUGACACUGAGGCGCGAAAGCGUGGGUAGC
rnacentral:rRNA from 1 species